GAUGAACGCUGGCGGCGUGCCUAAUACAUGCAGGUCGAGCGAACAGACGAGGAUCUUGCUCCUCUGACGUUAGCGGCGGACGGGUGAGUAACACGUGGAUAACCUACCUAUAAGACUGGGAUAACUUCGGGAAACCGGAGCUAAUACCGGAUAAUAUAUUGAACCGCAUGGUUCACUAGUGAAAGACGGUUUUGCUGUCACUUAUAGAUGGAUCCGCGCCGCAUUAGCUAGUUUGUAAGGUAACGGCUUACCAAGGCAACGAUGCGUAGCCGACCUGAGAGGGUGAUCGGCCACACUGGAACUGAGACACGGUCCAGACUCCUACGGGAGGCAGCAGUAGGGAAUCUUACGCAAUGGGCGAAAGCUUGACGGAGCAACGCCGCGUGAGUGAUGAAGGUCUUCGGAUCGUAAAACUCUGUUAUUAGGGAAGAACAAAUGUGUAAGUAACUAUGCACGUCUUGACGGUACCUAAUCAGAAAGCCACGGCUAACUACGUG
rnacentral:rRNA from 1 species